AACAAUGACAGUCCUAAGGUAGCGAAAUUCAUUGUCGAGUAAGUUUCGACCUGCACGAAAGGCAUAACGAUCUGGGCGCUGUCUCGGAGAGAGACUCGGUGAAAUAGACUUGUCCGUGAAGAUGCGGACUACUUGCAUUUGGACAGAAAGACCCUAUGAAGCUUCACUGCAGGCUGGCAUUGGGUUCGGGCUUUUCUUGCGCAGUCUAGGUGGGAGGCUUUGA
rnacentral:rRNA from 1 species